UUUAAGUGCAACCAUGAGUUUCCAUGUCCAACUUUGAUCGUCCGUUUUAUUUGAAUUUUUUUUAUAAUUAGUAUUUUUGUUGUUAUGAGAUGAUAAAAUAUGAACAAUACUUUAUUCAUGACUUAUGUUUUUAAAUUUUUUUAAAUAAGACGGACGAUUAAAAUUGGGCACGGAAAAUUAUGGCUACACUUAAA
rnacentral:pre_miRNA from 1 species